AGGGCACCACCAGGAGUGGAGCCUGCGGCUUAAUUUGACUCAACACGGGAAAACUCACCCGGCCCGGACACUGGAAGGAUUGACAGAUUGAGAGCUCUUUCUUGAUUCAGUGGGUGGUGGUGCAUGGCCGUUCUUAGUUGGUGGAGUGAUUUGUCUGGUUAAUUCCGAUAACGAACGAGACUCUAGCCUACUAAAUAGAUCGUCGGCUUACAAACGCCGGCGAACACUUCUUAGAGGGACAGGCGGUGAUUCAACCGCACGAAACAGAGCAAUAACAGGUCUGUGAUGCCCUUAGAUGUCCGGGGCCGCACGCGCGCUACACUGAAGUGAUCAGCGUGCUUUUUCAACCUACUCUGUCAAGAGUGGGGAACCCAAUGAACCUUCUUCGUGAUUGGGAUAGGGGAUUGUAAUUGUUCCCCUUGAACGAGGAAUUCCCAGUAAGCGCGAGUCAUAAGCUCGCGUUGAUUACGUCCCUGCCCUUUGUACACACCGCCCGUCGCUACUACCGAUUGAAUGUUU
rnacentral:rRNA from 1 species